UUGCGGUUAAAAAGCUCGUAGUUGGAUCUCGGCGGGCAGGGGGUGGUUCGCUCUUCAGCGCUACUGCCCCGCUUUGCCCGUGUGAUUGGCGGAGGUUUCGGGGUGCUCUUCGUUGAGUGACUCGGAGCGCCGUCAGGUUUACUUUGAAAAAAUUAGAGUGCUCAAAGCAGGCUUUUCACGCUUGAAUAUUCGUGCAUGGAAUAAUGGAAUAGGAACUCGUUUCUAUUUUGUUGGUUUUCGGAAAUCGAGUUAAUGAUUAACAGGGACAAUUGGGGGCAUUAGUAUUCAGACGACAGAGGUGAAAUUCUUGGACCGUCUGAAGACUGACUACUGCGAAAGCAUUUGCCAAGAGUGUUUUCAUUAAUCAAGAACGAAAGUUAGAGGUUCGAAGGCGAUCAGAUACCGCCCUAGUUCUAACCAUAAACGAUGCCAGCUAGCGAUCUGCCGAGUUUUUUUUGUAGGCUCCGCAGGAAACUUUCGGGAAACCAAAGCUUUUGGGUUCCGGGGGAAGUAUGGUUGCAAGCUGAAACUUAAAGGAAU
rnacentral:rRNA from 1 species